rnacentral:tRNA from 1 species
GCCUGAGUGGCGAAAUUGGUAUACGCGCCAGACUCAAAAUCUGGUGGUGGCAACACCGUGAGAGUUCGAGUCUCUCCUCAGGCACCA